GAUGAAGAACGCAGCGAAAUGCGAUACGUAAUGUGAAUUGCAGAAUUCAGUGAAUCAUCGAGUCUUUGAACGCACAUUGCGCCCCCUGGUAUUCCGGGGGGCAUGCCUGUCCGAGCGUCAUUGCUGCCUUCAAGCACGGCUUGUGUGUUGGGCCUCCGUCCUCCUCCCGGGGGACGGGCCCGAAAGGUAGCGGCGGCACCGCGUCCGGUCCUCGAGCGUAUGGGGCUUCGUCACCCGCUCUUGUAGGCCCGGCCGGCGCUUGCCGACACAUCAAUCUUUUUUCCAGGUUGACCUCGGAUCAGGUAGGGAUACCCGCUGAACUUAAGCAUAUCAAUAAGCGGAGGA
rnacentral:misc_RNA from 1 species